rnacentral:rRNA from 1 species
GUCGAUACGGGCAGACUAGAGUGCUGUAGGGGAGACUGGAAUUCCUGGUGUAGCGGUGAAAUGCGCAGAUAUCAGGAGGAACACCGGUGGCGAAGGCGGGUCUCUGGGCAGUAACUGACGCUGAGGAGCGAAAGCGUGGGGAGCGAACAGGAUUAGAUACCCUGGGUAGUCCACGCCGUAAACGGUGGGUGCUAGGUGUGGGGCUCAUUCCACGAGUUCCGUGCCGCAGCUAACGCAUUAAGCGCCCCGCCUGGGGAGUACGGCCGCAAGGCUAAAACUCAAAGGAAUUGACGGGGGCCCGCACAAGCGGCGGAGCAUGUUGCUUAAUUCGAUGCAACGCGAAGAACCUUACCUAGGCUUGACAUGCGCGGAAAUCCUCCAGAGAUGGUGGGUCCGUAAGGGCCGUGCACAGGUGGUGCAUGGUUGUCGUCAGCUCGUGUCGUGAGAUGUUGGGUUAAGUCCCGCAACGAGCGCAACCCUCGUUCUAUGUUGCCAGCACGUCAUGGUGGGGACUCAUAGGAGACUGCCGGGGUCAACUCGGAGGAAGGUGGGGAUGACGUCAAAUCAUCAUGCCCCUUAUGUCUUGGGCUGCACACAUGCUACAAUGGCCGGUACAAAGGGCUGCUAAACCGCGAGGUGGAGCGAAUCCCAAAAAGCCGGUCUCAGUUCGGAUUGGGGUCUGCAACUCGACCCCAUGAAGUCGGAGUUGCUAGUAAUCGCAGAUCAGCAACGCUG